AGUGGCGACCGGGUGAGUAACACGUGACAAAAAUACCUUCGAGUGGGGGAUAACAUCGGGAAACCGAUGUUAAAACCGAAUAACAUCGCAAGAUCAAAGCAGCAAUGCGCUGGAAGAGGGGGUCGCGGCUGAUUAGCUAGUUGGCGGGGUAACGGCCCACCAAGGCGAAGAUCGGUAUCCGGCCUGAGAGGGCGCACGGACACACUGGAACUGAAACACGGUCCAGACUCCUACGGGAGGUAGCAGUGGGGAAUUUUGCGCAAUGGGGGAAACCCUGACGCAGCAACGCCGCGUGGAGGAUGAAGCCCCUUGGGGCGUAAACUCCUUUCGACCAAGACGAUAAUGACGGUACUGGUGAAAAAGCACCGGCUAACUCUGUGCCAGCAGCCCCGGUAAUACCGAGGGUGCGAGCGUUGUUCGGA
rnacentral:rRNA from 1 species